CAGACAUCAUUUGUGAGUCGCUGCAUAUAGCAAGGGUACCCUGAGACGAAGGGGAGCCCCGAUUCGAAAUUCCCUGCUCUCACCUCAGAUGAGGAGAAGAUAAAACGGCUUCACAGCGUCCAUUCCGUAUGAGGUUUGUCGGCGACUAAAUCAGGAAACCAAGUCAUAGACCCCUGUCCUGUGGAAAAAGUAGCAAAAAUGAAAAGAAAUGACAAAGAAAUAGCAUCUACUGAGAGGUGACAGAUGAUCAUUGGAGCUCCAGGCAAAAAAAGAUGAGCAAAGUAAAAAGAACUAGAAAAACACCUCCAGCAACCGUUCCUAAAAUUAGAGUCGUACAGUCGAUUAUCAAGAAUAGGAGUCAGAAAUUGUAGCUACCCUACCCCCGUGUUUUCUAUACCAAAUACGAUGGACCUCUACAAGACUACAAUCAAUCAGCUUCCAGCAGCUACUCCUGAC